CCUUCUUCACACUUUUUCCUUAGGUGAACCUGCGGAAGGAUCAUUAUUGUAUAACCGAGGUGCGAGGGCUGUCGCUGACCCGAAAGGUCGUGCACGCCCGAGUGCCCUCACACACAUCCAUCUCACCCCUAUGUGCACCACCGCGUGGGUCCCCCUUUGGCUUGUUCGGAGGGGGGCUUACGUUUUCACACAAACUUUGUAUGCAGUGUAGAAUGUAUUUUUUGUUUUUGCGAUCACGCAAUCAAUACAACUUUCAACAACGGAUCUCUUGGCUCUC
rnacentral:misc_RNA from 1 species